UUACGGCCAAAUCACGAUGAAACAUUGAUCCCCGUACGAUCACCGAAGUUAAACAAUGUCGACUCUGGUCAGUACCGAGAUUGGUGACCUCUUGGGAAUACAAGCUGCUGUA